rnacentral:piRNA from 1 species
UUAAAUAAAGAGGACUGUAAAUAUUGGU